UACGUAGGGGGCUAGCGUUGUCCGGAAUCAUUGGGCGUAAAGCGCGUGUAGGCGGCCCGGUAAGUCCGCUGUGAAAGUCGGGGGGCUCAACCCUCGGAUGCCGGUGGAGUACUGUCGGGCUAGAGUACGGAAGAGGCGAGUGGAAUCCUGGUGUAGCGGUGAAAUGCGCAGAUAUCAGGAGGAACACCAAUUGCGAAGGCAGCUCGCUGGGACGUCACUGACGCUGAGACGCGAAAGCGUGGGGAGCAAACAGG
rnacentral:rRNA from 1 species